UACGUAGGCAGCAAGCGUUGUUCGGAGUUACUGGGCGUAAAGGGUGCGUAGGCGGCUUUUUAAGUUUGGUGUGAAAUCUCCCGGCUCAACUGGGAGGGUGCGCCGAAUACUGAGAGGCUAGAGUGUGGGAGAGGAAAGUGGAAUUCCUGGUGUAGCGGUGAAAUGCGCAGAUAUCGGGAGGAACACCGGUGGUGUAGACGGCUUUCUGGACCGUAACUGACGCUGAGACACGAAAGCGUGGGUAGCAAACAGG
rnacentral:rRNA from 1 species